rnacentral:ribozyme from 13 species
AGAGAAGAAGAAAAGAGAGAAGAGAGAAGAAGAGAGAGAGGGAAGAUUCUGGAGAGACAAUUUAUUUCUUCUGAUCCUGAUUUUACUGUUAUGGUUCACCUUUCUCCUCAUCCG